CCUACGGGUGGCAGCAGUGAGGAAUAUUGGUCAAUGGACGAGAGUCUGAACCAGCCAAGUAGCGUGAAGGAUGACUGCCCUAUGGGUUGUAAACUUCUUUUAUAUGGGAAUAAAACGUUCCACGUGUGGGAUUUCGUAUGUACCAUAUGAAUAAGGAUCGGCGAACCCCGUGCCAGCAGCCGCGGUAAUACGGAGGAUCCGAGCGUUAACCGGGUUUAUUGGGGUUAAAGGGAGCGUAGGUGGAUUGUUAAGUCAGUUGGGAAAGUUUGCGGCUCAACCGUAAAAUUGCAGUUGAAACUGGCAGUCUUGAGUAGAGUAGAGGUGGGCGGAAUUCGUGGUGUAGCGGUGAAAUGCUUAGAUAUCACGAAGAACUCCGAUUGCGAAGGCAGUUCACUGGACUGCAACUGACACUGAGGCUCGAAAGUGUGGGUAUCAAACAGGAUUAGAUACCCUGGUAGUC
rnacentral:rRNA from 1 species